ACUAAUUUAAAAAACGAGGAGACGCCUGUAAUCUUUAUUACAUUUAUAUAUAUAUAUGAACCUCUAUAGCCAACAACCUCAUCAAAAUGUCAUCAACCCAAUGACACCUGUCGAGAUGUUAAAUUGAAUUUUCGUGUCUUGAAAAGAACUAAUUUCUAUAAAAGAGGAGACGCCUUCAAUUCAAAUUAUUUAUGUAUGAAAAAUAACAUCUUAAAUAGAAUCCAUUACCUGUUUUCAAAGGAGUCAUUGAAGACUUUAUUUGCAUUUAAAUUAAAAACGUGAGCAACAUCAGACCCACCUCUUAAGCCAACGUAUAUAAGUCCAGCGCAAUUUACAGCAUUUUCAAAUCGCUUUCGACAACUGUUUGAACUAAAGCUUUUCCAUAACUUUUCGAAAAACUUAUAACAAAGUAACACUUGUAAAGAUUUAUUUUCUUAAGAACAUGGACAAACCGAUUAGAAAACAGUUUGGUUUUAAUAAGAAUGUAACGGUUAAGAAAAAUGGAGAAUACUUAAAUGUAUAUGUGAAUCAUACUGUCUAUGAAAACGGCGAACUGGUAAAGGAGAAAUCCAGAUCCGUAUGGUUGACGUGGAAGGAAACUAUACAGCUGAAAGAAGCGAUCCAAGCUAUAGAAGAAGAAGUGUUGAUGAUCGAAGGGUUCUCUAGCGAUACAACUGGGGAUGCUAAAGGAGUUACACACGUCGCUGUUCAAAAAACAGAUACGACUAGUGCUGCGUCCGCUGCUGCUGCUCAAAAAACAGAUACGGCUAAGACAAGCGUAAAACGUCAUUAUCCCUAUUAGAUGCAACAACUUUAGACUGUAAAUGAUAGAUGAUUGACGAGAGACCAACGCGCUAAACUAUAUUAACUUUAAUAGAAAAUGGAUCAGUGUAUAUGUAACAGUGAAAGAAUAUCUGUUUUGAGACGUUCUGCAUAUAUUUCAACAGCUAGAAAAGCUGUAAAACUGUGUCGUUGUAUUUCGUGUCGAAAAUACUAUAUCGCUAUUCUUACAUGUAUUGAACUUAUCGAUGAUCAAGGACUUGUUGAUGCGGUUAUAUAUUUACCUAUAAGAAAUGCCGAGCAUGGCCGUUCAGUUUUCAGAGAAAUAAUUAGCGCUCCUAUAAACCCUUAAACUUUUACAACAAUAUUUAGAAAACAAAACAAAAACGCCAUCCUUAUUUUUGCCAGCAGUAAUAUCCUUUUACGUAGAUGAUGACACGAGAUGUUGUGUCAUAUGUAUGAAGAGACAAACUACCUAUUUAGUAGAAGAACGUUUGUCUGAUAGAGUAACUGUAAGUAGGAAAUGUAUAGUUUGUGGUAGUAAUUUACACGAUUCUUUUGCUUUGUUAUGAGAUGCUUUAUUGAUAUUGCUGACAUUUUGUGAGCCAAUGAGAAAACAACGACUCUCGUUCCUGGGAGGAGCUAUGCGUGAUAGUAAAUUGAGAGGAGCUUAGCGUUGAAUAAAAUGAAGGUGUUCUCUAAAGAGUAUUCAAAGUUGCGAACGCCAAGAUGAAAGUCAGAAAGAGCGGUGUUAAGAAUAUAUAUUGUUCCACGUGUAAGAAAUGGAUCACGGAUUGUUUCGUUGGUCGUCAUGUGCAAAGUAAGACACAUUUUAUGAAGAAUCAGAAUCAUGAGUUGCAUCCGCGGAAACCAAAACUAAAAUCGGCAAUGGACAGUGGAUCGAUCAGUUCUACACAUGUAAUGAAAAAUGUAAAAGACAAAGUGUCUGACAAGCAACAGGAAGCUACACAUUGCACGGUACAAGGUGAUGCAGUAACGCAUUAUACAAUACAAGGUGAAAAGGUAAUGACAUGGGGAUCUGAAGCGUUUCAAGAACUUCCGCAGAAUGUGCUUGGUCUUUCCGGACUUGAUGAUACGUGGGACUUUGAAAGCACAUUAAUGAACGACGAACAUGCCACUGAAAAUGGUAUCACCACCGACAAUGGUAUCAAUGGAGUUGACGUUCAGCCACGAUCAGUACAAUAUACGACACACAAUGGUUUGAAUCCAUGGACAGAGUUUUCAACUGAAGUGUUAAGUGGUGCGUGUCCAGACGGUUCAGUCGCAUCCACAGAGUUCCCAAUUGACGUGUUAAGUGGCGUGUUUCCAGAGCGCGUAUGUGACGAUCCUCAUCACAAUCAAAUAUCGUACUUCAAAUGUCACCUGUGUAAUCCAACCACCUAUAAAGACUACGAAAGCUGGUAAAAACUUUGAGUAAUUCGAUUUCAUAUACCAAGAUGAAUUCUAGUGAAACUGUACUUUUUGGGAACAGGUUAAAACGAAAUAGUUAUGCGAAGUAUGAGGAUCGUUUAUCUUCCUAUCAAACAUGGCCUCAGCAGAUGAAUCAAGAUAAAUACGCUCUAGCUAAAUCGGGAUUUAUUUAUUCGAAAGAAGGAGAUAUUGUAGAAUGUUUCGCGUGCGGCGUUAAAGUGAGCCAGUGGGCAGUCAAUGACAUUCCCGAUCUUGAACACAAGAAAUGGUCGCCCGAGUGUGCGUAUAUAAAGCUGACUUGUUCUAGAGACACAUACGACGUUGCAGCAUUUGCGAGUGUGAAUUUUGAUUUUUAAAAUUUUAAAAAUUAGUAAAGAAAUAUGGAGCUCAGUCAAGUGUCAUUACUAGAAUCGUAUUUUGACUUUUUCUAUGCUAAAGAAAUUAGCAAAAAUAUGUACCUUGUUUUCAGAAAGAAGUGUUUCGGCUGUCAAAAUGCUUGUUUAUCGCAAAGUGAUCAUACGUGUUUAACUUUAACGGAUAAACAGCAGCUAGAGUUAUAUUUCGAUGACAUUCUCGCUGAAGUGGAUGAAUCCGAUAUUGUAUUGAAAUGGAACGAAGCAACAUCUCUUCUCGACGUGUCUGUUCAAGUGUUGAACAUGUUCAAAUUAAAAGUGUAUUGUAACGAUUGGCGCGAAACUGAUAUGAAAAGUGAGCAGUGGAAAUCUAAAAUGAUACAAAUGACUGUUCAAUUGCUCAUGUUAAAUCACAGAUUCGGUUAACUUUGCAAACUAACUAAAAAAAAAAAAAAUGUUGCAUACUAACUGGCAUUUGCAAAGGUUGAUAAAUGAUGUUAUAUCUUGUUGUAUGUGUACGUUCUUUGAUGCUUAUAUGUGCUCGUUGUUUGAUGAUUUUACUGUAUGUGUCUUGAUCAUUUAUAUGAACUAUGAAUGCUAUGUAUAUAUCUAUAUUUUUCAUUGGUGUUGGGAAAAAAUAUAAUCAAUAAAAGAGUAUAUAGAACA